rnacentral:misc_RNA from 1 species
CCCCUCUAAGCACUCCCAAAAGUUCAUUUCGAUCAAUCCCACCUCUGACCAUCAUGUCAUUCUCCUUUUUGGCAUACUGAAUCAAGAGACCUAUCCUUGAUCUCACCCAAUAACACAGUUGCAAUGUUCGUGUGCUUAUCAAUCACCUGCUUCCGCUCCGUCAACUCAGGCAGUGAGUUCACUGCAUUCAUCAAAUGUUUUGUAUUACCAAUCAGAUCUGUUCCAUCAAAUUCUGCCCCAUCCGCUCCACCAGUCCUCCUAUUCACCUCAUCAACAUCCUUCUUGUACUUAUUCAAUUGUGUCUCAAUUUCCACUGCAACUUCAGGAAAUUCCAGAGACCCAUUUGCAGCCCAGAAAGGGUCAGAACUAUCCAACUCAUAUGACUUCAUCCCUCCCUUUUCCCCCUGCACGCUCAACCUAUUCAGCUUUAGUCCAAGUACAUCAUGAACAAGGGAGCGAUACCUAAAAUCAUGCUGUAUUCCAACUGCCAACUCAAAAUUCCUAUCAAAUAUACACAAAAUGGGCCUCUGAAAUGAGCUCAUAAAACCACCACCUUCUGAAAACAGAUUGUUCUUUGACAA